UGUUGCGGAGCCAUGGCCGGCGAGAAGAAGGUGUUCGGCUUCGAGGAGGUCGCCAAGCACAGCGUCGCCAAGGACUGCUGGCUCGUCAUCGACGGCAAGGCCAGUCGCCGGACCACCGCAGCUCAUCGUCAUCGUCCACCUGCAAAGACUUCCUGCGCAAGUUCAUAUGGACGGAAAUUCUCUCCCUUGAUAAGUAGGUGACAGAGUUGCUGCCGCUCCGGCAGCAAGGCGAGGUGAUCUGCGGCGGGCGGAGGCAGGUGGCGGAGCUGCUGCUUCGGCAGCGCGGUGAGCUGGAGCAAGCGGAGGUGG